UCUUGAUUUCUUGUUCUUUUUCUCUUUUCUUUGACCAUGGCUUUCAACAGCACUGUGUAUGUAAUUUUAUCUGUCUGAUAAACUUCAGAUGAUCCAAUAGAUACAAGCUGACUAUAAACAACCUGUUUUGUACAGAAGGUUCUCUGUCCUGAGAUAGAGCUGGGCCUGAAUUGUUCCUGCUUUUAAGUGAUGUCCGAGUGAUAACCUUGGGAAGAUUUCUGAGAGGAUACUGGUUCUGAGGUGUUUUGUGAUCAAAUCUAAUGACAAUUGUCCAGAACUGGAGAGGUUAAAAUCACCUAUGACUUCUGCCUAUUUGAUUGCAUUUUGAACAGGCAGCAUACGAUAUGGGAUUCAGCCAGAAGGAAGUAAUUGAGCAGUGGAGGUUUUAUAAGGCUGCUUACUGAAAUAUUUCAGGC
rnacentral:lncRNA from 1 species